GCAGGUCUCUGGGCUGUAACUGACGCUGAGGAGCGAAAGCAUGGGGAGCGAACAGGAUUAGAUACCCUGGUAGUCCAUGCCGUAAACGUUGGGCACUAGGUGUGGGGGACAUUCCACGUUUUCCGCGCCGUAGCUAACGCAUUAAGUGCCCCGCCUGGGGAGUACGGCCGCAAGGCUAAAACUCAAAGGAAUUGACGGGGGCCCGCACAAGCGGCGGAGCAUGCGGAUUAAUUCGAUGCAACGCGAAGAACCUUACCAAGGCUUGACAUGGACCGGAAAGACCUGGAAACAGGUGCCCCGCUUGCGGCCGGUUUACAGGUGGUGCAUGGUUGUCGUCAGCUCGUGUCGUGAGAUGUUGGGUUAAGUCCCGCAACGAGCGCAACCCUCGUUCUAUGUUGCCAGCGGUUCGGCCGGGGACUCAUAGGAGACUGCCGGGGUCAACUCGGAGGAAGGUGGGGACGACGUCAAAUCAUCAUGCCCCUUAUGUCUUGGGCUUCACGCAUGCUACAAUGGCCGGUACAAAGGGUUGCGAUACUG
rnacentral:rRNA from 1 species